AGUCGAGCGAGACCUUCGGGUCUAGCGGCGGACGGGUUAGUAACGCGUGGGAACGUGCCCUUCUCUGCGGAAUAGCCACUGGAAACGGUGAGUAAUACCGCAUACGCCCUUCGGGGGAAAGAUUUAUCGGAGAAGGAUCGGCCCGCGUUAGAUUAGAUAGUUGGUGGGGUAACGGCCUACCAAGUCUACGAUCUAUAGCUGGUUUUAGAGGAUGAUCAGCAACACUGGGACUGAGACACGGCCCAGACUCCUACGGGAGGCAGCAGUGGGGAAUCUUAGACAAUGGGCGCAAGCCUGAUCUAGCCAUGCCGCGUGUGUGAUGAAGGUCUUAGGAUCGUAAAGCACUUUCGCCAGGGAUGAUAAUGACAGUACCUGGUAAAGAAACCCCGGCUAACUCCGUGCCAGCAGCCGCGGUAAUACGGAGGGGGUUAGCGUUGUUCGGAAUUACUGGGCGUAAAGCGCGCGUAGGCGGAUUGGAAAGUUGGGGGUGAAAUCCCGGGGCUCAACCCCGGAACUGCCUCCAAAACUAUCAGUCUAGAGUUCGAGAGAGGUGAGUGGAAUUCCAAGUGUAGAGGUGAAAUUCGUAGAUAUUUGGAGGAACACCAGUGGCGAAGGCGGCUCACUGGCUCGAUACUGACGCUGAGGUGCGAAAGUGUGGGGAGCAAACAGGAUUAGAUACCCUGGUAGUCCACACCGUAAACGAUGAAUGCCAGUCGNCGGGCAGU
rnacentral:rRNA from 1 species